rnacentral:rRNA from 1 species
UACGUAGGGGGCAAGCGUUGUCCGGAUUUAUUGGGCGUAAAGAGCGUGUAGGCGGCCAUACAGGUCCGUUGUGAAAACUGGAGGCUUAACCUCCAGACGUCGAUGGAAACCGUAUGGCUAGAGUCCGGAAGAGGAGAGUGGAAUUCCUGGUGUAGCGGUGAAAUGCGCAGAUAUCAGGAGGAACACCUAUAGCGAAGGCAGCUUGCUGGGACGACACUGACGCUGAGGCGCGAAAGCGUGGGGAGCGAACAGG